UGGCUCAGAGUGAACGCUGGCGGCAGGCCUAAUACAUGCAAGUCGAACGGCAGCACAGUGGAGCUUGCUCCAUGGGUGGCGAGUGGCGGACGGGUGAGGAAUACAUGGGAAUCUGCCCAGUCGUGGGGGAUAACGUAUGGAAACGUACGCUAAUACCGCAUGCGCCCUUCGGGGAAAGUCGGGGACCGCAAGGCCUGACGCGAUUGGAUGAGCCCAUGUUCGAUUAGCUAGUUGGCGGGGUAACGGCCCACCAAGGCGACGAUCGAUAGCUGGUCUGAGAGGAUGAUCAGCCACACUGGAACUGAGACACGGUCCAGACUCCUACGGGAGGCAGCAGUAGGGAAUAUUUGGACAAUGGGCGCAAGCCUGAUCCAGCCAUGCCGCGUGAGUGAAGAAGGCCCUCGGGUUGUAAAGCUCUUUUGUUGGGGAAGAAAAGCAGUUGGUUAAUACCCGAUUGUUCUGACGGUACCCAAAGAAUAAGCACCGGCUAACUUCGUG
rnacentral:rRNA from 1 species